CCCCAGUUUACCAGUCUCCACCUCCACCCUAUCAUCACUACUACGGUUCUCCUCCUCCUCACCACUACUAAGCAAGUGCAUCUAAGUUUUGAGGCAAAGGAGAAGGCAAUCGGUGUUUGAGACCUUCAUGAAGAUGUAGAAGAAUAAGAAUAAAAGCCCAAUGCGAGGAUGAUUUCAAGUUUCUACGUUACCAUUUCUACAUCUAAAUUGACUUUAGCUCCUGAGUUCCAUGUCUAUGGGGUUUGUACUGUUUUACGUACCAUGCAGUACAUGCUUGUAAGGUUUUCUGUCCUGUUGGCAAGCCGCAGGUCCAUAUAAUAAAUGAAUACUAUUUAUAUUACGACA